rnacentral:lncRNA from 1 species
GGGCAUGAGAACCGCAGCAGGUUAUGGGGCUACUCACAGCGACGGGCGGCCUAAGCUGGGACUGUGCGUCCUCUGCGGCUUGCCGGCGGCCGGAAAGUCGACUUUUGCUCGUGCUCUGGCUCUGCGGUUGCAGCGGGAGCGGGGUUGGGCCGUAGCCGUCCUCUCCUAUGACGAUGUGCUGCCUCUUGCGCUCCCGGACGGCGCGGGCACACAGCCUCGGAUUCACUAGGCUUUUGCCAGAUCUUUUUAGAUUGUCCCGUGGAAACAUGUUUGAAGAGGAAUGGCCAGAGACCCCAACCACUGCCAGAUGAGACCAUCCAGCUCAUGGAGAGAAAGAUAGAAAAACCCAACCCUGAGAAAAACGCCUGGGAACACAACAGCCUCGUAAUUCAGAGUUCAGCCUGUUCUUCGGAAGCCAGUGUGAGAGCGCAUGUGGGCUUCCAGAUGGCGCUCAUAAGCAGAUGCAAACGGACAUAAGUGACAUCGAUGAGGCUUCUCGCCUGUUUGAGAGAGACAUGGAAGAAACUGCAGGAGCAGCUCACUUAUAGGACUUUUUAUGUUUGUCCACUGGAUGUGAGAACUUAAAAAAUAAAAUGCUUUGCAGAAAUGC